GGGGCCUUGGCGCAACUGGUAGCGCACCUGCUUUGCAAGCAGGGGGUUAGGGGUUCGAGUCCCCUAGGCUCCACCA
rnacentral:tRNA from 1 species